GGCUUAUUGGUGUAGGGGUACGAGACUUGCUUAGGGUGCAAGAGGUCACAGGUUCAAAUCCUGGAUGAGCCC
rnacentral:tRNA from 1 species